GGAUUUGUAGUUGGUUUGAGUAUUGGACUAUGGCUCUGGAGACCAGGGUUCGAUUCCCGGCGUGGCCA